AGCCAGCUCUUGGAUACUACUUUUUUUUUUUUUAUCUGUUUUAGGAAGUUUUUUUUAAAAAGAAAUUCCUUAAAUACUAGUGUUUUUAAGUUUUAGACAGCACAGAUGUAUACAGCAAGAUAGGUAUCUCAUCGACUUCUCCAUGUGUGUCACUGUAAUUAGGUUUCUACACCCCAUUGUCUGUCGCACCUUGGGAAGAGGGUCGCUGGAUCUGUGGUAGAUUCUCACUGCACAGUGACUGAACUGACCUGCAGGUCUCCAGGAACUCCGCAAGCGCACUCCGCAGGUUAGGGUUCUGAGAGCCUGAGUCCAGUCCAGAUGCAUUUGGACAUCUCUGCAUGGUGUGCCAAUGAGCAGAUUCCCUCAAGCACAGCCCUGUUCAGAAGCCUCAAGGACUGCUCUAUCUUGAAUCCAAUACUCCGGGGUCCUCAUUGGGGCUAAAUGUCUAACAUCCAUUCCUUCAAACUAAUGCUCUGGUAGCCACUCCAAGGAGUCAGUUUCAAGCCCUGUGUGGGAGAGACGUGGCCGUGGCUGGAAUGGGCCCUGCUUUCCACUAUCACAGCAACUCGGCUGAAACAUGAUUUUUCUGGACAGGUCGCCUCUUUCUUGGUAGCUCAAGUGCGAAAACUGAAUGACAGUAAUUGCCGUCGUUCCCAGCUCUGUGAUGGGGGCCUCAAGACUUGGCUGCGGAGGACACACGUAGACAGAGACAAGGCUAGGAACGGGCUUGAAGCGACUCCCAAAGUGGCAACAAUCCAGGUCCCAGCGACCGGGCCUAGCAUGGAUCUUCUGCAGGUGCCUCUGAGUCCUAGCACCAGGGUGACCCAUGUCCUUAAGCUGUUCACAGAGCACCUCAACCCUGGCUCACAGCCUGAAGAGGGCAGUGAGACCUCAAAC
rnacentral:lncRNA from 1 species